rnacentral:lncRNA from 1 species
UGUUCUUUUUCAGUACCUUCUGUACCAGAAAACUUUGUGUUUAACGUGCAAGACAUCAAAACAACCGAAGCUGUGUUUGUUUGGAGUGAGUUGAAUGACUGGCUUAAAUCAGGAUUUGAACUUAUAAUUAAAUACUAUUUUGAUGAUUCAGAACAACAUUUUGAGCGCUUGCCUCUAAAUACAACACGCACAACAAUUGUGCAAUUGUCUCCUGGUCGCCUCUAUAGGGUUUUACUAUCAGCAAGGAGCCCCAGAGGGGCACAGACUAACUUAAGUCCAGUUCUGAUGGUAGAGACAAGGCCAUUACAUUCUCACAGUUUAGAGGCUACACAUGUAUCAUCAACAGAAAUCUAUUUACAGUGGGACCCUCCAGAGAACUCCUCCAAUGCAUCUUUUCAUCACUAUCUUGUCACUAUUUUGGACACUGAAGUGAACACAUCGGAGAAAUUACCAGUUCAGAAAAGCACCACUUCAAUGGUAAUUAGAAACAUCAAGCCGUAUCAUCAGUACAAGAUAUAUUUACAGAGUGUAGCAGAAAAGGGAUCUCUAAGCUGCAGUGAGAAGCCUAUAUUAAUUACAACAGCUGUCAGUCCACCUAGCAAUGUUGUUAUUCAUCCCGAGGAUGUGCAAGAAGAGAGUGUAAUUCUUCACUGGAAGGUACCACAAGAGGGCCUUGGAUCCUACAUUCAAGUGAAACCUACUACAGAUGUGGAUGAAACUGUAAAGUUUUUAUUAAACUCCACAGAUAGAUUUAAGAUUAAUCAUCUAGUUCCUGGCAUGACUUAUGAAAUAUCAGUGGCAACUGUGAAUAAUGGAAAUAUGAGUGAACUGAAGACCAUUCAAUGCACCCUAAAGCCCAAACCAGUUCAGAUUAUUGUCCCUUAUGACAUUUCUAGUAAUUCUGUGGUUUUAUUUCUUCAAAUACCUGAUGUUGGAAUAUUUGAUGGUAUAUAUGUUACAAGCAAAGGAGGACCUAAUGCUACGCUGGCUUUAAAGAAUGAUAAUAAAGUAACAAUUGAAAACUUGAUCCCAGGCACAGAAUAUGAUUUUUAUGUUUCUACAGUAAGUAGAAACACGUUAAGCUCCGUAUAUCAC